rnacentral:rRNA from 1 species
UACGUAGGGGGCAAGCGUUGUCCGGAUUUAUUGGGCGUAAAGAGCUCGUAGGCGGCUCGAAAAGUCGGCGGUGAAAACUCGGGACUCAACUCCGAGGCGCCCGUCGAUACUGUCGAGCUUGAGUCCGGUAGGGGAGUGUGGAAUUCCUGGUGUAGCGGUGAAAUGCGCAGAUAUCAGGAGGAACACCGAUGGCGAAGGCAGCACUCUGGGCCGGCACUGACGCUGAGGAGCGAAAGCCAGGGGAGCAAACGGG